GAUCCUAUAGUCAAGUGGUUACGACGUGGCAUUGUGGCUUUCUGGGUUUACUCAGAUGCAAUUCUGCCGAGGCGAGUGUUCGAUUCACUCUAGGGUCA